UUACGAUCAUAUCACGUUGAAAUCUCGGUUCUCAUACGAUCACCGAAGUUAAGCAACGUCGAGCCUGUUCACUACCUAGAUGGGUGACCGCUUGGGAAUACCAGGUGCUGUAAG